UUGUUGUACCGCAGGGAAAGUAUUACUUAGUGGAUGCUGGCUACACCAAUGGGCCGGGCUUUCUUGCUCCAUUCCGAUCGACUCGGUACCACUUGAAAGAGUGGGUUGCAAGUCAACAACAACCCCAAACUUAUAAAGAGCUCUAUAACUUGCGUCAUUCUCGUGCUAGAAAUGUUGUGGAGAGAACUUUCGGGUUGUGGAAGAAAAAAUGGGCCAUACUAAGAGUUCAAUCUUUCUUUGAUAUAAAGGACCAGGUAACAAAAGUUAAAGUGAUGUUACUUAUGGAUAGUGAUGACAUGCUGAUUGUGAAUCUAAUUUUGUGCAUAUUCGAAUUAUUAAUGCGUGUUGUGUGUUACACAACUUUGCAAGGGAUAGGCAACAUGUGAUGGAUGAUCUAUUGCUUCCAGAAGUUGACCAUGAACUAGAUGAUUUAGAACUUGAGACGGGGGAUGACGCUAACUUAAUUACAUGGAAUGUGAAGCCAUAAGGAAUGUGAAGGAGAAGUGCAACAAGGAUAUCACAAAGGACAACAUUUUGGGAAGGCUUAGAACUUUCGACAGGUACUAUGAAGUCAUUACCAAGAUACUUUCCCAAAGUGGUUUUGGGUGGGAUUGGGUGAAUCAUAAGCUAUCAAUGGAUAGUGAUGAUGUCUGGAUCAAAUAUGUGGAGGCUAAUAAGAAAGAGAAAGGAUUAGCUUCCUACAAGACCAAAGUAGUGAAGCAUUGGGAGUCCAUAUCUAUCAUAUAUUCAAAAGAUCAUGCCAAUGGUGAAGGUGCGAUGACUGGUGCUGAGACUGCUGCAGAUCCAGAAGCAGAACCAAUAGAAAUCUCUCCAGAAGUGGCACCAAAGAGGCAACGAACAGGUGAGUCCAUUAUGUGCAUGAUUGGAGAAAUGAGGGCUACUUUCAAGGAUGCUUUGAAGACAACUGAUCCACUUCCACUGCCAAAAGCUACCACUCCUGCGGCAAUUCUAGCUGCACUUCAGUUGAUACCAGACUUGGCAGAGCCAGACAUGUUGCGAUCAUAUGGGAAGCUGAUUCUUAAUGAGUGUUUAUUUGAAGCUCUAAUGGAGUUGCCCAUGGAAAUGAGGAAGGCCUGGCUGUUAGUGUUGCCUUAAAUUUAUUCAAAUGUUGCUUUUCAGCUUGUCUUGUUUAACUACUUGAACCUAUUUGAACUAGUGCGGUGAUGUUAAAUUUAGAACUAUGUGUUGUUGUUGUUG